CGAACGGACGAGAAGCUUGCUUCUCUGAUGUUAGCGGCGGACGGGUGAGUAACACGUGGAUAACCUACCUAUAAGACUGGGAUAACUUCGGGAAACCGGAGCUAAUACCGGAUAAUAUUUUGAACCGCAUGGUUCAAAAGUGAAAGACGGUCUUGCUGUCACUUAUAGAUGGAUCCGCGCUGCAUUAGCUAGUUGGUAAGGUAACGGCUUACCAAGGCAACGAUGCAUAGCCGACCUGAGAGGGUGAUCGGCCACACUGGAACUGAGACACGGUCCAGACUCCUACGGGAGGCAGCAGUAGGGAAUCUUCCGCAAUGGGCGAAAGCCUGACGGAGCAACGCCGCGUGAGUGAUGAAGGUCUUCGGAUCGUAAAACUCUGUUAUUAGGGAAGAACAUAUGUGUAAGUAACUGUGCACAUCUUGACGGUACCUAAUCAGAAAGCCACGGCUAACUACGUGCCAGCAGCCGCGGUAAUACGUAGGUGGCAAGCGUUAUCCGGAAUUAUUGGGCGUAAAGCGCGCGUAGGCGGUUUUUUAAGUCUGAUGUGAAAGCCCACGGCUCAACCGUGGAGGGUCAUUGGAAACUGGAAAACUUGAGUGCAGAAGAGGAAAGUGGAAUUCCAUGUGUAGCGGUGAAAUGCGCAGAGAUAUGGAGGAACACCAGUGGCGAAGGCGACUUUCUGGUCUGUAACUGACGCUGAUGUGCGAAAGCGUGGGGAUCAAACAGGAUUAGAUAACCUGGUAGUCCACGCCGUAAACGAUGAGUGCUAAGUGUUAGGGGGUUUCCGCCCCUUAGUGCUGCAGCUAAC
rnacentral:rRNA from 1 species